CCUAAGAAUCAAUUUCUCAAAUUCUGAUUAUCCUAAACCACCCCUAGGCAGUUUUUGUAGAACAUAACUUACAUAAACUGAUGUAACUAACUAAUAGUAUCUAACCCAAUAACUAUCCCAUCAGUUUCUAACCCACUAACUGCUCUUAACUGCCUAUAGCAGUUUGCGCCUCCACUGGUUGAGCCUGUCCUGGCUGCGCGGCUGCCCUAUGGCCAUCAGAUGCUGUCGUACCACCCAUUGUGGUGGUUGGUCUAAUUUUCUUCCUUUUACGGCUAUAGAAAUGGUAAAUUUGGGGUCUCUCCCUAUCAGUCUUAUAGAAGCUUCAAGGCUCAUUUGGUUUGACCUUCUCUGUUUCACGGACGUCUAUGACACAUGCCUCAAUUUUUCAUCUUCUCCGUUCAAUGACUCCUUUCUUUAUGAUAGUAGAGGAACGAACAAGCUGUGAUGAUGCAGGUUGUUGUGCAGUAAGGGGAGAAGGAUGGGAUUUGUAAUGGUAAGGUUGGCAUCUGGUCUGGGUCGUUGGGGGAGCAUCAAAUGUUGUCUUGGCGACAGGGUGACUUUGGUGAAACUUAAGUGUGUAAUUUUCAAUUUUCAAUUGCUGGAAUGUGGAAGUUGUUCUUAUGUUUAAUCAUGUAAAUAUUUGUUGCUUAUGUAUAAUCUGUUGCUUAUGUAUAUUUGUUUCUUAUGGAUAAAUUUGAGACCUAGGUUUCAAAUUUGAUGGUCAUAAGAAUCAAUAGUUGUGGCCUUACGGUAAGUGGAAAAAGCAAAUCGAUUUUGUCAAAUCUGUGUUUAUUGUCUAGACGGAUAAGAUUUCGUUCUAUGUUCAUCGAACUAUUGUCAAUGUCUUUGUUGGUUGCUGUUAGUGUUCCUUUGUUUAAUUAUUAAUUCUGCUUCUUUAGUAGGGGUGGCAUCAAUUGCACUUCGACUCUGUUGGUUUGGAGAAAUAUUCUUACAUUAUAAAGACAUUGCAAAUUGUUUUACCUUGCCAAAUGUGAUCAUUGUUUUUAAAUUUAUGCUAUUGCAGAGAAAUAUAAGUAAAUUUCUCGAGUAUAAGAAGGCUGGAAAAAGGUUUUAUGUAGACGCUCCCAACAGCAAGAACUAUCCAAACCCUUUCUUUUUACUGCAUGCAGUGAACUACCUGGAUAUUGAUCAAGUAUGGUCUUGCUAUAGUAAAGAUGUAUUUGAUUUUUUUUGAAAGAUGUAUUUGAUACUCAUGGAUAUGAUCCAAGCAAAUUGUAUGAUGAAAUAGCUUAUUACAGAUGGGAAUAUAGCUGUUGCUAUUGAAGCUAUCCUGGGCUCCUGGCUAUUGCAAACAAAAGUGGGGCAUGGAAUGGAAGCAUCGAAAGUUGUAGUGUGGGUGUUACAUGGUUACUGCUUGGCUUGAGGAAGAGUAUUAAAAUACCAAGUGGAGACUCAAAUAAGUCCCACAGUGGGUAGAUUAGCUAGUGUACAAGUGUAUAUAUAAUAAAGGACACAAAUUAGGGACUCAAAUAUGGAGAAGGUGUAUGGAGGUUUGAUGUUUAGAGGACCUGGGGUGGUGGUUUUAUUGAAGAAGGUUGAAGAAGAAGAAGUGGGUUCAAUGGGUGUCUCUGCUUGGUGGAGUUCAUGGCUAUGGGGGAAGGAGUGUGGCUUCUCACUCACUUUCCAGUAUUCGUUCACUUUUUUGCAGCGAGCUCUUUCGAAGCUUGGGGGAGCAUAUGGCACAGUUUAAGGUUCAUGCUUGGUUUAUCUGGCGGCGUCGCUGCAAUGUGAUUUUCGACCGUGAAGCUGAGCCUUGGCAGCUGGUCCUGCAGCACGCAGCAACGAUGCUCAAGGUGCUUCAAAAACCUCCGUCUAGUGCUACUGAUCAGCGCUGGGUUAAGUGGCAACCGCCUCCCGAGGGCUGGGUGGCUCUCAACGUCGAUGGCUCCUCCCUUGGAAACCCCGGUCGAGCUGGUGCGGGUGGGGUUUUCCGGGAUGGCGUGGGCUGUUGGUGUUACAGUUUCUCUAUAUUUGUUGGUAUUUCGGAGAUUCUUAAGGCGGAGCUUUUGGCCAUGUUGUAUGGUUUGCAGCUUUGAUGGUCCAAGGGUGUGCGACGGAUGCUUGUGUUCACAGAUUCUCAGCUGGCUCUCUCUCUUGUUCAGCUUGGGUGCGAUCGCUUCCAUCAGUAUGCGGCUAUUGUUGGGAUGAUCCAUGAUCUCUUGCGCUUUGAUUGGCAGGUAAAUUUCCGGCUCAUCCUGCGUGAAGGCAACGCUGUUGUUGACCUCUUGGCUAAAGACGGCACUCGCGACUCUUGUCGAUUGAAGCUCCUUGAGGACCCCCUCCAGGCCGCCCUUCCUUUGUUGGCGGAUGAUUACUGUGGCACCUUGUUCAUGAGGCGUUAGCGUUCUAAUCUUGUUUUGUUUUCUUUUUUCAAGCAGUUGUUUACCAAAAAACACCUAAUAAAGUUGUACCACACUCGUAAUUGUGGAAUGCAAUUUUUGUAUCCGACAAAUUAGUUAGCUUCGCAUUUUAGAUUGUGGAAGGUAAAAAGAAUUAGCUUUCACAUUUUAUAAUGUGGUAAC